GUGGGGAAUCUUGCGCAAUGGGCGAAAGCCUGACGCAGCCAUGCCGCGUGAAUGAUGAAGGUCUUAGGAUUGUAAAAUUCUUUCACCGGGGACGAUAAUGACGGUACCCGGAGAAGAAGCUCCGGCUAACUUCGUGCCAGCAGCCGCGGUAAUACGAAGGGGGCUAGCGUUGCUCGGAAUUACUGGGCGUAAAGGGCGCGUAGGCGGACAGCUUAGUCAGAGGUGAAAGCCCAGGGCUCAACCUUGGAAUUGCCUUUGAUACUGGCUGUGUUGAGUUUGGGAGAGGUGAGUGGAACUCCGAGUGUAGAGGUGAAAUUCGUAGAUAUUCGGAAGAACACCAGUGGCGAAGGCGACUCACUGGCCCAAUACUGACGCUGAGGCGCGAAAGCGUGGGGAGCAAACAGGAUUAGAUACCCCGGUAGUC
rnacentral:rRNA from 1 species